ACCUGGGUGGCUCAGUGGUCGAGCAUCUGCCUUUGGCUCAGAUCGUGAUCCUGGAGUCCUGGGAUCAAGUCCCACAUCAGGUU
rnacentral:tRNA from 1 species